CCGCGAGUAGGAUAGAUAUCGGAGACUGAGCGUCUCUAUGCGGCGUCAGUGCUUCGGGACUUCCCGGCGCCGACAUCUUGAGCGUUGCCAGGGCGACCUCGUCUUGUGCGGAACUGGGACGUUCAGGGGACAUUUUGAUUUUGAACUUGACGAGGCUGGUACUUUGCAUAGCACAUUGUAAUUGCGAAGAUUUUUUAAAAGUGUUUUGAAACCAAUUGAUAAUCAAUGCUAGAAUAUGGUCUUUGCAAACAGUUUCACCGAGGUACGAACAACUUGGGUCCUGUCUAUACGAACCGUGACUACAACAACUUGAAUACCUACACAAUGCCCAGCAUAACGAAGAUGUAGAAUCUCUGCAAGGUUUCACGAGCAUAUUCUUAUAACAUUUUGGAUGCUACCAGAUUCCUACAACCUUUCGCCGCGUUAUCAACU